GACGAACGCUGGCGGCGUGCCUAAUACAUGCAAGUCGAACGCAGUGGGGACGGGUGAGUAACACGUGGGUAACCUCACAUACGAGGGGGUAACACUUGGAAACAGGUGCUAAACCGAUACUGAUGGAUGGACCCGCGGUGCAUUAGAUAGUUGUUGAGGUAACGGCGCACCAAGGCCACGAUCCAUAGCCGACCUGGGAGGGGGAUCGGCCACACUGGGACUGAGACACGGCCCAGACUCCUACGGGAGGCAGCAGUAGGGAAUCUUCGGCAAUGGACGAAAGUCUGACCGAGCAACGCCGCGUGAGUGAAGAAGGUUUUCGGAUCGUAAAACUCUGUUGUUAGAGAAGCGGUAUCUAACCAGAAAGCCACGGCUAACUCCGUGCCAGCAGCCGCGGUAAUUC
rnacentral:rRNA from 1 species